rnacentral:tRNA from 1 species
UUUAAGCUCCAUAUAUAAAGAAAUUUUUCUUUUAUUAGAA